UAGUUCAGAGGCUCCAUUUAUGAUCAAAAGAUGAAGAUUGGGAAGGUCAUUAGAUGUAGAUUCAGAGAUAAAUCUUUUCAGCUUGUGGCAAUGUCCCACAUACAGUGCUUCUAGUUUUGGGAAGAAUGGCUGAGGAGAAAGAAGACUAGACAAUGUUUUAUCCUCCACAUCCUUUUCAAUGAUUUGUCUUAAUUCUUUGCAUUUUCUUAUCUUCACAAAAUUCAACUCUGGUAAGCAUCUUAAAACAGAUUUUGGAAAGACUACUUCCAAUUUUGCACAUCCAACUAUUUCUAAUCUUUCAAGAUUUGAGAAGGUAAAAGAGUUUUUUGGAACUCCUUCUUCACAUCCAACAAUCUGCCUCAAUUCCAUGCAUUCUUCUAUGAUUAGGCGUUUCAACUCUGAUAAGCUUCUGCUUAAGACAGAAGGAGGAAAGAUUACUUUCAAUUUUGCACAUCCCAUUAUUUUUAAAGUGGUAAGAUGUUGGAGAUUAACUGAAUUCUUGGAAGCCACCCAAAUAUAAGUCAUUUGAGGUAGAUUUUCCAACACCAAAUCCUCUAACCUUAAACUCACUUGAUGCCCAAUCAUUUCAUGUCCAUUAAGACAAAAAAUACCUUCUACUUCACAAUUUCUUAUGGAUACAUUUUUCAAAGUGAGGAAAUGAUUAUGAAUCCCUUUUGGAUCCUGCAGGACAUCAAUAGAAAUGUAAAAAAUUCCAAACAAAAAAACAAAAAGGACCAAAUAACUAAUAAUUAUAAAAAUAAACACAAGACUACCUUCCUGCUUACGCUAAUAGGCUCUCUUGAAUCCGUAAGAACCGUCAAAGAACUCAUAGAAUCAUUAAAAGGAUAGGAACAUUUAUCACACUCAAACUCCUUCAAAGAUGGCCAAGUCACAGUGAGAGUGUUGGUAGCACAAAUGCUAACAAAAUUUGGUAAAUUAUAAAGAGAGAGUAUUUCCAAUGCUGACAAAUGAAUAUGAAUCUCCUCACAAUCCUGAUUAGCUAUGGGAUAUUGCCCAAACAUAUAGUUCAAUUGGCCACAAUCACGCACAGAGAGAAUUCUUAGGUGUGGAAAGAUAGCAUUCAAAUUCUCUUUGCCAUAUUCAUCCUCAAUGUCUAUAAUGUGCUCAAGUCCAUGACAUUGCUUAAUUCUCAAGAUUUCCAACAUCAAUGAUGAAGCAAUGGACGGUUUAAAAAGGUACUUUACCUUAUCAAAGCCUUUCAGUUCAAUCUCUAUUAUAUUUUGCAUAAUAAGAAAGGUCAAACCUUGUGGUUGUUUUGAAAGAUAUUCAACACUUUCAACUGGGGGAACAAAAUCUGAGUUCGAUAUCUGCAAUAUAUACACUAAAUUACUUUUUAAACCAAACUAAAUAAUUAUUGUUGCAAUUCAUUUCUAACAUAUUACUCGUAUAAAUUAAAAUUUUAAGAAAUACCACUAAUUGUUUAUUAAAUUAAUUGCAUUUUGUUUAGCCCAACGAGAAAAAAGAAUAAUUUCACAAAAGUAAUCUACUCCAACUAAUCUAUCCCAAUACUUUAAUAUUAAAACUUAUAGGUUGAAUUCAGGUCACCAAUAAGUUGUAGUUCUUAUAAGACAAUUAUUAAUUUUAGCUCAAACAUGAUCUUGCAAAAUUUUUGCUAAAUACAAAGCAAGUGAUGAAUAAUCAUACCUUGAUUGAAAUAUAAUCUUCGUGUCUAGCUUCCGAAGCAUUUGUUGAAGAAUUUAUCGUGAAAAACCCAACAUAUGUCCCAAUACCCAAUAAUAGUGUUCUCAAAGACGGACAUCUUACAGUAUAACUGUCUAGAAUGAUGCUACCCAGGUUACGAUCAAGUUGGAGUACUUCUAAAGCAGGAAGCUCAAUCUGAGUAUUAUUUUGUUGUUGCUGACAAAAAUUCUCUUUGAAAUUAUUUGGACUUGAAAAAUCUUUCAAAUCAGUUGUCUCUUUAUUUCUUAUAUCAUUCAAUUUCAUCGUGCCUCCAACAAAAGGGACAGGGAAUAUACGUUGCAAUAAGUCACAUUCACUGAUAUAUAAAUUUUUCAAACUCUGGAAGAUUGAAAUAUCACUCUGAAAGUCAUGGUCAUCCUCAACAACAUUUUCCUUCUGAUUUUGAUUGAUCCUUUCAUGAGUUAUUAUAUGCCUCAAACUAUUGCACUUUAUUAUGACCAAUUUUUCUAAAGAAGUCAAGGUCUUAGCUGUAGAUGCUGUAAAAAUUGAGCCUAACUUCGGACAAUCAUAUAUUCUAAGGCUUGUAAGGCUUGAUAGAGUUCCUAAAAAGCAAUUAUAUAUAAGAAAAAUAUCACUCAAGAUUUCAUAUAUACUUUGUGUGCAAGUUACAUUCUGAAUUUAAAAACAUUGGUUUCUUGAGACUAAAACCACAAUCCUAAACAUUAAAUGAUCGGUUAAUAAUGAUGAAAAGAAUCAUACAAAACAAUUUUCUUUAAAAUAUUCUAAAUUAUAAAAAAAAAAUUAAAAUGCAAAUAGAAAUGUCUUUAAUUUUGUCUGAGACAAAUUUCCCUGGCAGUGCAUUAACAAGUAAUUGGUUCAAAUAAAAGUAGAUUAUUAAUGUCGAGUUUGAACCUUACAAAUAGAAAAUAAUGAUCGUGAUGACACAAUGUACAACUAAUAUGCUUAAAUUUUUCAUAUACAAUAACAUAUUCACAAUUUUCACGUAACUUGUAAAUAACUUAACUUCAACUAAGCAACAACAGGUAGACUUACUAAUACACACUUAAACAUAUUUAGAAAUGCAAAAAGAAAAAUUUACCAGGGCUAUAGUUCACAACUGUUGUUGGUGGAGUUGAAGUUGAAGUGCUAUACAAAUGUGGAUGCUUACCUUCCUCAAUGAUUUCAUCAAGUUCUUCUUUUUUACCAUGGUCUGCUGAUGGAACAAUAUCUCCAAUUAUUUGAUCUAGCAUGUGGCAUUUAUUUAUCUCGAGCAGUUUCAAUUGAACUAAGCCUCUUACAAUGCUGGCAGAGAAUAUAAGUUUUAAUUCUCCACAACUAUUUACCUCUAGUUUCUGAAGAUUCUGGAAUAUUUGUAUAGGAUGCCCAGUGGUGAAUUCACCUUGACUUUUCUCUGUUUUGUCAUCUUCUGCUAAUAUAUGCUUCAAUCCAUCACAUCUUGAUAUUUUUAAUGUUUUCAAUUGUACCAAACGUUGAGCAACGACAUACGUGAAGAGAGAUGUCAAUCGUGGACAAUCAAUUAAAUAUAACUUCUCUAAGUUCUCAAAAGGCCCAUUGGCAGGUUGCAAACAAUGCCAUAAAGCUCUUAGAUUUUCCAUGUUAUGGAUUUUCAGCUUAUGCAACUUGGAGAAGAGAGUUAUCACCUCACUAUAAUGAUUACUAGUGUCAAUCAAACACUCUAUCUCUUUAGAAUUACGUAUCUCAAACAUAUUCAACUCAUCCAAACCUCCCCCUUCAAUUUGAAAUAUAUCAGGUAUGAUAUUUUUUGCCCCUCCCUGAAUAUUGGCUACAAAUAGAUCCUUUGCUUUUUUUGCUAAACUCUUAAUUACCUCAUUUGAAAUGUGAAAAUAGUUAAGUAAUAAUGAGUGGAAAGAAAUAAGUGAAAUAUAUUUCUGAGAUAUUUUACAAAUGUGAUUACAGUCUCUAUUUAUAGACUGUUUUACAACCUAAUUAAAGAAAGAAAUAAUAGGCAAUGAAAGCCAGAAAUAAUGAGUGUUUAAAGCUGUACAAAUCAAAUCAAAUCACUAACAAAUCUGUCCUAAUAAAUAUAAAAUAGAAUCUGCACUUAAUUAUAACAUAAUUCUCCUGAUUAUGCAACACUCCCCCUCAAGUUGGUGAAUGUAUAUCUAUCAUUCCCAACUUGCAAGUAAGAUCUUCGAAUUGUUUUGCGGGAAGUCCCUUAGUAAACAUAUCUGCCAAUUGGAGUCUUGAAGGGAUGUACUCAGUGGCUAUAAGACCAUCAUCCAACUUUUCUUUAAUAAAGUGUCGGUCUAUCUCUACGUGCUUUGUUCGAUCAUGUUGAACCGGAUUGUGUGCAAUACUGAUAGCGGACUUAUUAUCACAUGCCAAACUCAUAGGAGCUUCAUAUUUUAUUUUUAGGUCAUCAAGUAUGAUCUUCAUCCAUAAGAGUUCACACACCCCUUGAGCCAUGGCUCUAAAUUCUGCCUCUGCACUUGAUCUUGCAACUACAUUUUGCUUCUUGCUCCUCCAUGUCACCAGAUUUCCACCCAAGAACAUGCAGUAGCCUGUGGUGGAUCUCCUAUCAACAAUCGAUCCUGCAUAGUCAGCAUCAGUAUAUACUUUCAUGGAUAAGUUUUCCCCCUUUUUGAAUAGCAAUCCUUUUCCUGGAGAGGCUUUUAAGUACUGAAUAAUUUUAUCUACUGCUUGCAAGUGUCUUUCUCUUGGAUCAUGCAUAAAUUGACUAACCACACUAACUGCAUAGGCUAUAUCUGGCCUAGUGUGUGAAAGAUAAAUGAGUUUUCCCAGUGAAGGUUACUCGUGGACGGGGCGGUUAGUCUGCAUCCNNNNNNNNNNNNNNNNNNNNNNNNNNNNNNNNNNNNNNNNNNNNNNNNNNNNNNNNNNNNNNNNNNNNNNNNNNNNNNNNNNNNNNNNNNNNNNNNNNNNAAUGGGAAGGGAAAAAUACCACUGUACAAUUUAAAUCUUGGGUAAUCUUUUGAAUAGACAAGAGGUUAUUGGAUAGUUUGGGAACAUGAAGCACAUUUUUUAAAGGAAAUGAAGGUUGAAGGUGAAUGUUACCACGACCAUUAAUGGGGGUAGUGGAACCAUUAGCAAUAGUAAUAUAUGGCUUACCGGAUAAAGUAGUGUAGGAUGAAAAAGAAGAGGAAUGAGGUGUCAUAUGAUCAGUAGCACCAGAGUCUAUAAUCCAGAUAUUUUCAGUACUAGAAGCAUUAAAGGAUAAAAAACUAGAACUCUUACCACUCAUAGUAAAGGAACAAUAGCUAGAUGGCUUACUAAGGGAGUCCAUGAGAGUUCAAAACCAACUGAGUUUUUCAGAUUGGCAAAAUUUGAUCCUGUUCACACACACAGGAAAAAAAAAUCUGCCGGAAAAAUUUUCCGGUGGCGGUUUCAGGCGGCCAGCGGCGGUUUCCGGCGAGCAGUGGCAGUUCCGGCGAGCGGUGCAGUUUCCGGCGAGCGACGGCAGUGGUGGUCGUCAAUGGUGCAAGGUGGUGGUGGUGGUCAAUGGAGAAAGGAUAAGGAAAAUAGAAAGUUGCAGCAAUGAAGGCUGUCCAACAAAUAAUUGCAGCAAUGAAGGCUGUCAAGGAAAAUGAUUACAGCAAUGAAGGCUAAAAAAAAAUUUGCGGAAGCAGAGUCUCCUAGAUCAGGAGCUCUGAUACCAAGUGGAAAGAAAUAAGUGAAAUAUAUUUCUGAGAUAUUUUACAAAUGUGAUUACAGUCUCUAUUUAUAGACUGUUUUACAACCUAAUUAAAGAAAGAAAUAAUAGGCAAUGAAAGCCAGAAAUAAUGAGUGUUUAAAGCUGUACAAAUCAAAUCAAAUCACUAACAAAUCUGUCCUAAUAAAUAUAAAAUAGAAUCUGCACUUAAUUAUAACAUAAUUCUCCUGAUUAUGCAACAUAAUGUUUUGUGAUUAGAGCAAAAUUCUUCAUCAUUAUACUCAUCAAAAUAACGGGAUCCUAAUAUAAUUCCGUACCUUUGCAAUGUUUGGGGGACACUGAAGGUGUUAAAGAAUUCAAUAUUGUCUUCACUGUUAGCAUCCCAUUCUCCUUCAAUAUUAACAAUGUACAACUCUUCCAGUAGUGGAGUUCUUUUGAUCACUUCAAACUUCUUCCCUUUAAUGUCACAUUUGUUCAACUCUAACAAUUUUAAGGAUGUUACUUGUGAAAUUACAACAUCAGUUUGUAAUUCAGGAAAUGAAGGCAAUAAACAGCCAUGCAGCGAAAGACUUUGGAGUUUCUUCAUAUCGCCUACAAAAGUGAAGUUGCUCAACUCAUAACCGUAAAUGAGUAAAUAACGGAGAUUUUGUAAUGCUUGGAAAGACACUUUUGACAAUGGUGUUUUUCCAUCCUCAUCAUUCACAAGAAUCAAAACUUUGAGCAUUCCCAUUCUUUUGAAAAUUCCAUCAAAUUCUAACAAUUUUGUCUUUAAGAAUAAAAACUCAAGAUUGGAACAAUCCAAAUCAUUUGGAAAUUUCACACACCAUAGAUAUUUUACGAAAUUUUGUUCAAUAGUCACAUCUUUUUCCUCUUCGCACUUGAUGAUCUUAUUCUCAUUCUUUGCUAUCAAGUGGGCCACAUCGCGAACUAUGUCAUGCAUUUUGACACAUUCAUCCUCUUCAUCCAACAAUAAACAAGAACUAACGAGCUUAAUUUUGGCUGCAAUCACUUCACUCCUAGCCACCUCAUAUGAGUGUGCUUCUCCAACUACACCUAACCCUAUUGCGCAUCUUAUUAAAAGUUCAAUUGGAAUUUCAAAAUCUUCAGGGAACACAGAACACAACAGGAAAAGUGAUUUAGCUUCUUUAGUAUCCAAAUUAUCAUAGCUCAACUGCAAGCACUUGUAGGGAUCAGUCAAACCUCUUUCAAUAUUUAUUGGCUUAGAACUUCUCAACUUAUUCAAUGCAACACUCCAUAUCGUCUCGACUUUUCCCUUCAAACUACUAGCUACAGCUGCAAUUGCAACAGGCAAUCCUUUACAUUCAUUAGAAAUUAAUCUUGCCAGAUUCUUUAAGGUAUCAGGGGUGUCUUCAAAUAUAAGUGCUUUAUUUUGGAAAAGAGUCCACGCUUCUUCAUCCGUUAAAAUUGGCAGGUAAAUCUUCCUUUGACAAUCCAUCGAAGUACAAACUUCUUCUGAUCUAGUGGUAAUGAGAAUCUUACAGCCUUUAUGGUGUUCAGAGGAUGGAAUCCCAAUGCCCCCAAAGUCAAGCUUCUCCCACACAUCAUCUAGAAUCAUAAGAAUAUUUUUUUCUUGGGUUAAUCUCAAGCACAAUCGUUGGGCUCUCUCCAUUUCUUCGGUUUCUGGAAAUAUAUAUUGCAGUGAACUUGCAAUUUUUUCUUGGAUCCUUCGAACUUCCACUGUACUAGAAAUAGGCACAAAAAGAACUUUGUCAAAAAGAUGCUCUGCUUCUACUAACUUCCUAACCUCCAUUGCUAAGGUGGUUUUACCACAACCCCCCAUCCCAUACAGUCCAAUCAUGGCAACAUCAUUAUUUUUCACUGCUUCCAGUAGUUUCUCAUAUGCAAAUUGUCUACUCUCAAAAUUCAUGCAUUUUUCUGAAAGAAUAUUCAAGGUGCCUGAAGGAAGUGUAGCAAUGCGGUCAAAUGGCACAUAUUUUCUACCCUCUACAAUGAACUUUUCAAGGUCCACAGUUUUAUUUGCUAACUUUUUUCCUACACGGUGUCGCCAAAUCCAAUUUGGACAGUGCCCAAAGCAACAUAUUUUUUUUGUUUUUGCCUCUUUCAACAACUGACUCACAUUGUCUACGUUAAUGAUAGCAUCUUGCAGCCACUUGUCGACAACUUCACUAGUCUUUCUGGUUUGUCUCUCGGCAUGUGCAACAAAUGUUUGCACACUAUCUCUCGUUACAAUCAAAUCACCCUCUUCUUGCUCAAGCUUUUUGAUGAAAUUGUUAAAACAACAAGGAUAACGUAAUUGAUUUAAUGCUCCACACACUAAAUCUCUUGAAACAGAAGAUGCAAAACCCAAGAGACACUCCAUCAAUUUGUUCCACCAAAUUCAACUUUCUUUAACCUGAACAAGAGAAAAUGAACACACUCUAUAAGUUUUAUAAUUAUAUUUAGAUACAUUAGACAAAAACAUAUUUUAAGAUCAUUUAUUACAUAUUCUAGUAAGUCACUUUUAUAGUAAAAUUACAAAAAAAAAGGUUUAUAAGUCAUGUGUAGUAAGCAAAUUUAAUGUUUUAUAUCCUAAAUAAUUAAUUAUUGGAUACACAUUAAAAUAAACUCCAAUAACUUUAAUCAAUAGUUUUAAAAUAUUAAUUGUGAUAGAGUUUUUAAAUGUUUUUUUAUCACUUUGGUUAUUUUUCAAACAUAUUUUUUUGAAUAGCUUUAUUUAAAUUUUUUUUUACCCUUCCUCAAAAAGAAAAAUUAUCAUAUUCAAUGUACUUAAAUGACACAUAAAUAUGUAGAUCAAAAUAUUUGUUAAGUAGGAAAAGCAACCGAUGAGUACAAUAUGUAUUUAUCCAAAGGUUGAAUCAACUAGGGCUUAGGUCGUGAGCCUAUAUCAAGCUGAGUCGAUCCAAGUCCGUGUCGAGUCGAGUUGACUCAGGUCCAAGUCGAGCCUAGUUAGUUUGGGUCCAUGUUGAGGCUAGUUAGUCCAGACCCAUGUCGAGCCGAGUCAGUCUGAACCCAUGUCGAGCCGAGUCAGUCUGAACCCAUGUCGAGUCAAGUGGGCACGGGCUAGUGUCGAGUCGAAAUGACCCAUGUCCAUGUCGUUCCAAGUCGACCUGGGCCCAUGUUGAGCCUAGUCAUCCCGAGCCCAAAUCGACCCGAGUCGACUUGGGCCUAGGACGACCCUAGUUAGCACAUGCCCAGGUCGAGUCGACCUGAGCCCAUCUCGAGUCGAGCCCAGCUGGUCUAGGCCCAUGUCGAGCCGAGUGGAACAUGUUUAGAGGAGUGGGCUUGGGCCAAUGUCGAGUUGAGUGGGUACAGGUCCAUGUUGAGCUAAGUCAGUUUGGUAAUAGGUCGAGUCGGCUCGGGUCUAGGUUGAGUUGAGUUUGCCUAGACCCAAGUAGAGCCAAGUUUGCUUGGGCGUGGCCCGGACCUAUAUCGAGUCGAGUCAACUCGGGCUCAGGUCGAGUGUAGUUGGCCCGGGUCCAUGUUGAGCCAAGUUGACCAAGGCCAGGGAGUCGAGUUGACUCGGACCCAGAUCGAGCCAAGUCAGUUCGGGCACAGGUCGAGUCAGCCUGAGCCCAUAUCGAGCCGAGUCAAUCCAGGACCAUGUUUAGCCGAGUGGGCGUGGGUCCAUGUCGAGCCGCGUUGACCCUGGCCCAUGUUAAGCUAAGCGGGUUCAGGCCCAUGUCGAGCUAAGUCGACCUGGUACUAGGUCGAGUCAAUUCGGGUCCAGGUCGAGCUGAGCUGUUUUGAUACCAGAUCGAGCAUAGUUGGCCUGGAUCUAGGUCUAGCCGAGUCGGUCCAGGUUCAGAUCAAGUCGACCUUAACACAAGUCAAGCCAAGUCAGCUCGUGUCCAGAUCUAGAUGGAUUUAAUCUAAUUUACAAAGUGAAUUUAAUUAUUUUAAAUGAAUUUAGAAAAAUCCAAAUAAAUUUGAUCUAAUUAAAAUUGAUGUAAAAUCCAAUCUAUUUUGUUAGAAUUGAAUCUGGAUAAAAUUCAAUCCAUAACUACUCUACCCAAAAAUCACUUUAUAACCGUUCGUUAUACAACACUUGUUACUUAUAUUCAUUUAUUAUGAUGAAAUAUAUUAAUUCAUCAUCAGCAUUUCCCCCCAUUUGAUUAGUUAAGAUAGUUUAUCAUAUACCCUCUCUUAAUAUUUUUAUGAGACUAAAUUAAUUUUUUUAUAAGUUUUUGGUAUCUCUAUUGGAAACUUUGACUGAAGUGACAUUUUCAACAAUUAAACAUAUAUCAUCAAAUUGGCUAAAUUAGUAUGUUAAACUAACAAAAAGUAUAAAUUUGGUUUGACAGAAAAGCUUUAAAAAAUCGAAGUGAAACUUUUAAACUUUAGAACUAAACUAAAAUCUCGCUAAUGGAUCAAAACUUUAUUUUAGAAAAAAAAAUGAAUCAUGUUUAAUUAGAAGAGGCAUGUUACAUUUUAAUUAAAUAAAUUGUCAUAAAUAAUGAUGGUUAAAAGAGAAGUGAUAUGGGAACUUAGUUCUUCAUUAAAUUAUAUUAAUAUAUUACAUUUAUAUUAUAAAUAGUUUCAUAUAUUUUCUUUACUAAUAUGCCAAAUUAUGAGAAAAAAUUUAAAAUAUUCAUGUUCAUAUUUGAGAGAGAUGGACCAUGUCAUAAUUAUGUUGAAUUCCGAGCUAUUAUAUAAUAGGACGUUAAUUUGGUAGACGUUUGAAAAUCUCUCGACUUGAAUAGCCUUAGCUACUCAAUCAAGACAAAAUCAAGAAAAAUAAGGGAUUUUAUCAAUAUAUAUCGUAAGAGGCAUUAACAAGAAGGAUCAUCUUUUAAACACAUUAAUUAAAGGUGCACUCACUCUUAACUAUCAUUGAAUAUCCUGGGCUUAACGUGACCUAACCCUUUUGUCUAGAACAAUAUUUAAUUUCAAAUAAUUCAUCCUUAAAAAAUUGAUUAGAUCUAAAUAAACUUUUACAUUUUCACUCCUCUUACAAAGGACGUUAGCUCUCUUUAAAGUAAACUAUAAUGGUGCUCUUAGGUUUCUUCAAAUUAAACUAACAUAUGUGAUAAUUGAAUGUCAAAUAAAGAUCAUGUUUAUAGAAUUUUGUCAUAGACUAUAUAUGUGCUAUGAUUUUAUGUUUUUGGGAUGACCUUUAUAUUGCUAAAUUAAAAUGAUUCUCUCAAUUCGACUUGUGCUUGAAAUGGUAUUUAAUAGUUUUUCAGAAAAUAUAAUUGUUCAAUUUGAUCUCUCUGAUUGAAGAUAAAUAAUGUGAUUAGUAUGUUAAUCCUAAUUGAACAUUAUUACCAUAAAACUUGUAAGAGCCAAUAAAGAUCCAGUCAAAUCGAUUCAAAAUUAGUAAAAAAUUAUAAAAUAUCGUAGUUAAAUAUCGAUUCAAUUUUUUUACAUUUAGCUGAAACAUUUUUAAGAUAAAUGAUAUAUGUAAUAUUCUGCAGGGUAUAAUAAUGAUUACACUAGAUAAAUAAGCUAUUCUUCCUAUUUUGAUCUCACAGUUUUACAGAUCUCAGAGUAUUUUUAAUAGAAAUUUUCUUAAGAUCUCACCUAUACAAAUUAUUUCAUAAUAAUAAUUAUUUAUAAAUAAAAUAUUAUUUUAAUGGAGAUCUCACAGAUAUAAAUUAUGUAAAUGUAAAGAAAAUUAUUUAUAUUAAAAAGAGUUAGUUAAGAACAGUAGUUUCCAUAAUAAUAUUAUAAAUCAUAAACAUCACUACUUUAGUAUAGAAAACAGAAAACAGAUUAUAUUGUGUUUUCAUCCAUAAGAAGAAGCAGAUCUAGUAGUCUGAACCUGUUCAUCGUUCAUAUCUAACUAAUUUGAAAGAGGAAAAAUAUGAAAUAUUACCUUCUUUAACUAAUAUGUAGAGAGAGAUGAGAGAAAGAAGUGGUGAUCCAUGACUUCAACACAGGAGAAGCUGAAACGUUAAGUUACUGCAGAAACAUAAACACAAACACAUGAUCUACAACUUCAAUUGAAAAGGAAUCGAUUAGAAAUUGAAAACAAAGCAGAAGUUAACUUCACACUGAUUCAUACCUCCACAGAGAUGAAAGUACUCCAUUGCUUGAAUCGAUGAGAGAGUAAAAGAGACGCUGAAAGAUUACGUUACUGCACAAACACAAACACGUGAUCCACAACUUCAAUUGAAAAGGAAUCGAUUAGAAAUUGAAAACAAAACAGAAGUUAACUUCACACUGAUUCAUACCUCCACAGAGACGAAUGCACUCCAUUGCAAAAGAGUUAAGAAUGAACGCGCAGUUAUUCCAGCACAAGAGACGGUGAAACGUUAAGUUACUGCAUAAACACAAACACAAACACAUGAUCUACAGCUUCAAUCGAAAAGGAAUCGAUUAGAAAUUGAAAUCACAGUGAUUCGUACCUUCACAGAGAUGAAAGGAAUCCAUGGCUUGAACGAAGGACAGAGUAUAACAGAGAACCCUCACACUGAGUGCAAUACCGCAAGAGAUAAGAGUGAAAGCAGAGAUGCGAAGAGUGGGGACAGUGACUAUUGGUCUUCUUCCCAGUGAUAUUAUUGCUCUUCCUCUUUUCUAUCAAUUAUUAUUAUAAUAAUAAUAAUUGAGGAUGCAUUGACUUGCACUUUUAUAUCUUUUAAAAGUCUUUGUCUUCUUUUAUAUAAUAAUAAUAAUAAUUCUUAUUUUUUAUUAUUGCUGUGUGCAGUUUUUUUUUUAAUCUGCCGUACAUAUUUUGACAUAACAAUAAUUUAUUUAAUUUAUUAAACAAUACACAACGAACAGAAAAAAAGAAAACUUAUUUGACCUCCGAGUUGUACCAGCCUAAUUAAAGUUAAAAUGAUUAUUGUAAUUUUUUAAAUAAAUUUUACUUUUAUUUAGUAUGAAUGUUUCAACCCGAUUUAAGUUCAUCCUAAAAUUUAAUGCAAAAGCGAAAAGUGGAAAAUGUCCUUUUAAAUUUUUUAUAUUUUCUUAAAACAUAUUAUUUAAAACGUAUUUUAAAAAAGUAAACUAUUGCUUUCGAAGAAAAUUGAAUUUUUAUUCAAUUUCAUAAAAGAAUAAAUAAAAAUAGAAAUGGAUGGUUCCUUUUAGAUUGACAGAGAGGAGUAAACUGACUGGGAAAUUAGAACCAAAUGAAAUAUAUAGUAAAACACGCAUAAAAAUAAAAAUAAGGUAUUACAAAAUGAUGUAGCAAAUUUUGUUGGGUUUAUUAUUGUAGAGCAUAAAGAUACUUUUGGUUGCAUAUGGCUAAGAUAGUGGAAUGUGGAAUAUAAGUGAUUGCAGCAUUAGAAGAAAGAGGAAUGCGAAAUGGGCUAAUGUAGCACUCAAUGUAACUCCUUUUCCUUUUCUCUCAAACAUAAUUUAUCCCUUAAAUGCUUUGUAGUCACACACUAAUAGGACUCAAUAUUAUUAUGCAUGAUGGAAUCAUAUCCACAAAAACAUGGUGAAGUGAUUAAGGCAUACAUAAAAUAAAUAUAAGCUACACUCAUCAUUGAAGGAAGGAACAUAAGAAAUGGUUUUUGUAAUUUUGUCUCACCAAGAGCAAUCUCUUACACAACAAUAAAUAACAUAGCAAACAUACAACAAAAUAGAACAAAAUAGAACAAGCAAAAGACUGAACAAUAUUGUGUAGUUGCAAAUCUUCCUUUUAAGUGAUGAACAAUUUGGUCCUUAAUAACAGUGAUCAAUGAAAACCCUCAUGAGGAAUUUCUAGCAACCAUGCGAUUGUAUUCAUACUGACUACACAUAACUGACCAUUUAUAAGUCACCUCAAAUAAUUUUUGUUGAACUUUUCUUUCAUCUUCCACCAUUUGAGACUGGUCUUUCCUCACAUUUUCAAGCUCCAUUUUGUACCCAAUAGUUUCUGCAAUCCUUUUAUUUUUUUCCUCUUCCAGAGAGGAUAAGGCAUCCUCACAAACUUUUAUUUCUUCCUUCAGCCUAAUGAUUUGUUCCUUUAAAACUACUUCCUUCAGUUGAGCUUCAUCAUAGAAAUUCUUUGCCUCGAAAAUUUUGGAACCAAGAGUAGUGGCCACCUCAUUCCCACGAGCUUCAAGUUCUGCCAACUUAUCAGUGGUAGCAAAGCCUUGCUUAAAGGAGCAUACAAUGCUUGGGAACUCUUGCUGCAUAGUGCCUAUAAUAUCUUUGAGUCCAUCUGAUAGAGAUACAUCUUUGAAAGGAAGGUUAGACAGGAAAUUAAGAGCAGACAAAAGGUUAAUACUGUUAGUCUCAGAGCUAACUAUGUCCUUCAAAGACAUCUUUAGAUACUUUUCCAACUCAACAAAGAUCUUUCCAACUAUGUUGUCUUCACUCUCUUUCCCCACAACAACUGGUGCAAACAAACUCAUGAUAUCAUUGGCCCCAGAGUCUUGAAUAAUUUUAGGAUGACCUCCACUUUCUUUAACAGUGUGUGUCUCAGUUCGACUGCUCCUAAUUUCACUCUUGGAGGAAUAAGAAGAAAAUAUAAUAGUAAAGACGUUAGCAUCAAGCCAUAACAGUUGCAAAUCAUUGAGUUCCUUAAACCAUUUUUUAUCCAAGCAUAUUUGUUAGAGUGAUGAUAACAAAUUCAUUAAAUUUAAAUUCCAACUUAAAAUUCCAUACUUUUGUUUUUAAUUCCACUCCCGCGGCAAAUGAUAAAUCAAAAUGAAAACAUCAUUUUUAUGCUGACAAAAUAUGUUGGAAAUGUGAAUUGCAUAAAAUAAACUUACAUGUGUAUGUGAUUUAGUUUGGGAAGUAAAUAUUUGGUCAAACUGUGAGCUAGUGGAUUCAGAAUGAAUCGAUGAAGUUGUGAUACUGGUGUUCUUUUCUAUGGUUUUCUCUACAGCUUCUCGCUCAAUACUCUGCAUAAGAAAAGAAAGAUAUUUACUAGCAGGGUUGUUAUUAAUGGCAUGUGCACAUGCAUGUUAAUUUAAAAUAUUUGAUGUUAUUUUUGUUUGCCAUUUACCUGAGGAAUUUUGGAGCUACUUACAAUUUUUCCAAGUGACUUUUGUCGGUUCAUCAAGCACGGUUCACUAAUCCGCUGUUUGUCCACCAAUGCCUAAACAAAGUAAUGAACUAGUGUAAAAUCACUAUACUCUUAGCACUUCAAUUUUAUCCAGUAGGAAAAAUAUUUAGGCUCACAUUUGAGAGUGUUUCACGUAGAGGAAUAUUCAAAUAAGAUGGAGUUGGCCUUUCAGAUGGUUGUGAGUUUGUUAAUGAUGUUGUUGUUCUUGGUAUUUCUGGAGUGGAAACUUCAGCAACAAAUUCCUUCUCUGGUUCUUCAUUUCUCGCAGCAAUGCGAUCAAUAGAAACAACACCUAUUUCACCUUCUUUAUCAACCAAGUUAGAACUUUCUUCGAAGCUAUUGUUAACAUUCUGGGUCUUCACACAUCUAGAACUUCUUUUACAGUUUUCAUUAGACUCAUCACCUUGUUUAACAACCUGGGAAUCUAAUACCAUAUCCACACUAUUAAACCUGUGUAAAAAACUUAAAUUUUUCACUUUAUGAAUCCCAAGAAAACAUAGAAAUUGAUAGUAUGAAUCUUGGAAGAAUUACAAAUACCACUAGAAUGUAUAUUUAAAUAGAAAGAGAAAAUUCAACUUCAAAUUCACAAAAGAAGGAUACAUUUUAUCUGGACAUUAACAAAGUCAUUUAAGACUCUUAAUUUCAUUCAUUCUUUACAUUACAUAGUAAGAAGUUAAAUGAUCAUACCUCUUAGGAUUCUCAUCCAUUUGUCUCUCCGCAAUGUCCUCUCUCAGCUUAGGAUCCCUCGUCAAAACAUGUUGACGCAUUUCAUCUAUCAAUGAACUCUCAAAUCCAAUCUCAACAGCUUCUUCACAUAGUUUAUGAAACUCUUUUUCUCUUUGAGGAGUAACAUUAUCAACACUUUCCUUCUGAAGGAACAACAAUAUAUCUGCCAAAAUUUUCAACCUCCAAGCUUGAAAGCGAUCACUAAAUUUCUCGCAAGCAUUCCAAAGAUGAGGAUAUGUUGUUAUCGCCUCCACCAAAAGAGCAAUUUGUGCAUCAUCUAGAUCAACAAAAUGUUUAUACAUUCCCAAUCUUGUACGAAUAUCUGCAGAAGCUAUAAAAAGUUUGAGAGAGUGAUAUGAAAAUAUAGAAUUGAAACAAGAAAAUAAGAAAUAAAAAACCUGGAGAAAUGUCAAUAUUGUUGUUAGAAACAAUAUGUAUCUCCUCUUGUUUGUCCAAUAGGUUCAACCCUUCUUCUACUUGGAUUUCUUGGCUUGGCAUGAUUCCUGCCUUGCCAUCAUUCAUCUUAUCAUCUUGUUCAAGUAUGUCCACGUCACCAGACUGAAUGUGAAUUGCAACACCACUUCCAAUGCUAAUGUCUUCAACAUCAGUUGACAAAGAUUUUGUCUUAUCACCCUCUGCUGUAGACCCCUCUUCAAUGUUCUCAUUUCCUACUUCCCCAAUCUCCUGUAUAUCACAAAGAAAAAAUAAGAUGGAGUGAGAGACUCUAAAAGUUUGAAAACCACUAUUUUUAAUAUACAUCAUGUGGUGGUAUGAUAGUAGUUUAAACGAUUGUGACUAUACUUCCUUCUUCUUCAAGUUAAAUUGUAUUUACAUUCAUAUAGAUUGGUUGGUUCUUACAUGUAAUGAAGUGAACUCACUGCUAGCAGAAUCUUCAUCUAAAUUGCUCAUCAUCACUUCUAUCUCCCAUCUAUAAACCCUAGUGUUUCUCAAAUCUGUAACAAAAAAAUAUAUAUUAGAGAAUUCACGUGACAGUGAAACACAUAAAAAAAAAUAUGAAAUACAACCUUAACUUUCCAUGAUGGACCAUUAUAUCACUACAAUUAAAAGUAAAAAUUGAUUUAAAAAGUUAAUUUGUAAAUAUAUUUUUUUAGGUGAAAUUGAGGGAUUUCAAAUGUGAUCAUAUUCUAUGAACGAUUAACAGGUUUAAUUGUGGACUGUGCGGAUUCAAAAUAUUUAGCAGCAAAAUCACCUAAACUUUAAAGAGUUUACCAAAUAUAAAAAAUAAUAUUAAAAAUAUAAUGAUAUCAACAUGCAUAACAUAAUACUCUUAAUCCAAUAAUUUAAUAUUUCGACAACAUGACAAAUUAAAUUAAAUAGAUGAAACUCAUAUAAAUUGAUUCAAACAAAAGUUCUUAAUGUGAAACUAACCCCUCAAAUAAUUGUAGUCCAAAAAAAUUGUCAGUGUUGGAUAAAAAUUACAUUUAAUUUCACACUCGUAAACUUCCUUUUUUACUUGAGAGUUUACUUGAGAGUUUAUACGAGUUAACACCAACAUUUGCUCAUAAAAGAGUUUGAUGGUAAGUUACCUCGUUUUUUCUCUAGUCGUAAGAGCUUAAGAUUAAUUCAAGAGUUUCACAACUUUCCAAUAACAGUUUAUAUUGAAGACUAUAUAUAGUAUUUACCUUUAUAAGGAAAAUUUUCCUUGAGCUCCCCAAGAGUAGUUGUUGGAGUUAAAGAGAGUUUUGGACAUUCAUAGACAACACAAUUCUUUAUAUUCGGCAAUUCAGUCUCUUGACAAAAGUUUGAAAGAUGCAUAAAUAUUAAAAGUUUCAGUCUUGGAAGCUCAACUUUACUCUUUCUUAUCUCUUCACUUUUUCCUUGUCCACAUCCAACAAGCUCUUCUAGUUCAGAAGCUCCAUUUAUGAUCAAAAGAAGAAGAUUGGGAAAGUCAUUAGAUGCAGAUCCAGAGAUAAAUCUUUUGAGCUUGUGGCAAUGUCCAACAUGCAAUGCUUUUAGUUUUGGGAAGCAUGGCCGAGGAGAAAGAAGAUUAGAAUUUGUUUUAUCCUCCAUAUCAUCUUCAAUGAUUUGUUUUAAUUCUUUGCAUUUUCUUAUUUUCAGAAGAUUCAAUUGUGGUAGGCAUCUGAAAACAUGCUUAGGAAAGAUUACUUCCAAUUUUUCACAUCCAACUAUUUCUAAUGUGGUAAGAUGUUGGAGAUUAAAUGAAUUCUUGGAAGUCACCCAAAUAUAAGUCAUUUGAGGUAGAUUUUCCAACAACAAAUCCUUUAACCUUAAAUUCACUUGUUGCUCAAUCAUUCCUUGUCCAUUAAGAAAAAAAAUACCUUUUACUUCAGAAUUCCUUAUGGUUACAUAUUGCAAAGUGAAGAAAUGGUUCUGAAUUCCUUUUGGAUCCUGCAAGACAUUAAAAGGAAAUGUAAAAAAAUACAAACAGAAAACAAAAAGGAACAAACAACUAAUAAUUAUAAAAUAAAGACAAGGCUACCUUUUUGCUUAUGCUAAAAUGCUCUCUUGAAUCCGUAGGAACCGUCAAACAACUAUCAGAAUAAAACUCCUUCAAAGAUGGCCACGUCAUAGUGAGAUUGUUGGUAGCACAAAUGCUAACAAAAUUUGGUAGAUUAUAAAGAUAGAGUAUUUCCAAUGCUGAGAAAUGAAUAUGAAUCUCCUCACAAUCCUGAUUAGCUACGGGAUAUUGGCCAAGCAUAUAUUUCAAUUGGCCACAAUCACUUACUGAGAGGUAUCUUAAGUUUGGGAAGAUGGCAUUCAAACUCUCUUUGCCAUAUUCAUCUUCAAUGUCUAUAAUGUGCUCAAGUCCAUCACAUUGCCUAAUUGUCAAGCUUUCCAACAUCAAUGAUGAAGCAAUAGACGAUUUAAAAAGGUACUUUACCUUAUCAAAGCCUUUCAAUUCAAUAUCUCUUAUAUUAUGCAUAAUAAGCAAGGUCAAACCCUGUGGUUGUUUUGAAAGAUAUUCAACACUUUCAACUGGAGGAACAAAAUCUGAGUUCAAUAUCUGCAAUAUAUACACCAAGUUACUUCUUAAACCAAACUAAAUAGUGUCUUAACUUUAAUUAUUAAUGCAUUUCAUUCCAAAUAUUAUUCGUGUAAAUUAAAAUUUAAAGAAAUACCAUUGAUUGCUUAGAUUUAUUUGAUUCUUUAUGAAAAUAAUUGCUUUUUCUUUAGCUUAAUGACUUAAAGUUGAAAAGAAAAUAAUUUCCCACACAUAAUCUACUCCCAAUAAUUUAUCCAAUACAUAAAUAUUAAAAAUCAUAUUGCAACUCUGGGAUGAAUUCAGGUAAAACCAUUAACCAUUUUUAGCACAAGCAUGAUCCUGCAAUUCAAAUGUUUAGAGUAAUUUUUGUAAAUACACAAAGUAAGAGAUUGAUAAGCAUACCUUGAUCGCAAUAUAAUCUUCGUGUCUAGCUUUCGAACCAUUUGCUGAACAAUUUAUAGUAAAAAACUCAACACGUCUCCCAAUAGCUAAUGAUAGUUCUCCUACAGAUGGACAUCUUAUAAGAUAAUUGUCUAGAACGGUGCUACCCAGGGUAUGAUCAAGUUCGAGUACUUCUAAAGUAGGAAGCUCAAUCUGAGUAUUAUUUUGUUGUUGGUGACAAGAAUUCUCUUUGAAAUUAUUUUGUCUUGAAAAAUCUUUCAAAUCAACUACCUCUUUCAUCAUACCUCCAACAAAAGAGAUAGGGAAUAUACGUUGCAAUAAGUCACAUCCACAAAUACGUAGCUUUUUCAAACUUUGGAAGAUUGAAAUAUCAAUAUGAAAGUCAUGGUCAUCCUCGAAAUUUUUUUCCUUCUGAUUUUGAUUGACCCUUUCAUGAGUUAUGAUAUGCUUCAAACUAUUGCACUUUUUUAUGAUCAAUUCUUCCAAAGAAGUCAACGUCUUAGCUGUAGAUGCUGUAAAAAUUGAACCUAACUUCGGACAAUCAUUUAUCCUAAGGCUUGCAAGGCUGGAUAGAGAUCCUGUAAAGUAUUUAUAAAUAAGAAAAAUAUCGCUCACCAUAUUAGAGUUGGUUAUAUACAUAUGCUAUGUGUGCAAGAUACUGAUUUAAAAAAGAUUGGUUUCAAGGGACUAAAAACACUAUCCUAAGCAUAAAAUGAUUGGUUAAUAAUAUGAAAAGAAUCAUACAAAACAAUUUUCUUUAAAUAAUUGUAAAUUAUACAUAAAUUUAAAAUGAAAACUGUCUUUAAUUUUGAUUGAGACAAAUUUCACUGGUAGUGUAUGAACAAGUAGUUGGUUCAUGUAAAACUAGAUUAGUAAUGUAGUUUGAACUUUACAAAUGGAAAAUAAUUAUAUGGAUGAAACAGUGGACAAUUAAUAUAGGCUUAAAUUUUUCAUUUAAAUAAGAUAUUAACAGUUUACGUGUAUCUUGUAAUAACUUCAACUAAGCAAUAACAUGUAGACUUACUAAUACAUGCUUAAACAUAUUUAGAAAUGCAAAAAGAAAAAUGUACCUGGGCUAUUGUUCACAAUUGUUGUUGAUGGAAUUGAAGUGCUAUACAAAUGUGGAUGCUUACCUUCCUCAAUGAUUUCAUCAAGUUCUUCUUUUUUAUUUUGGUCUACAGAUGGAACAAUAUUCCCAAUUAUUUGAUCUAGCAUGUCACAUUCUUGUAUCUUGAGCAUUUUCAAUUGAGUUAAGCCUCUUACAAUGUUGGCCGAGAAUAUAUGUUUUAAUUUUCUACAACUAUUUACCUUUACUUCCUGAAGAUUUUGGAAGAUUUGUACAGGAUGCUCAGUGGUGAAUUCACCUUGACUUUUUUCUGUUUUGUCAUCAUCAGCUAAUAUAUGCUUCAGUUCAUCACAUCUUGAUAUUUUUAAUAUUUUCAAUUGUACCAAACUUCGAGCAACGAUAUACGUGAAGAUAGAUGUCAACUGUGGACAAUCACUUAAAUUCAGCUUCUCUAAGUUCUCAAAAGGCCCAUUGAUAGGUUGAAAACAAUACCAUAAAGCUCUUAAAUUUUUCAUUUUUUCCACUCUGAGAUUAUACAACUUGGAGAAGUGAGUUACCACCGUACUCGAUUGGUUACUAGUGUCAAUCAAACACUCUAUCUCUUCAGAAUUACGUAUCUCAAACUCACUCAACUCAUCCAAACCUCCUCCUUCAAUUUGAAAUAUAUCAGGGAUGAUAUUUUUUGCGCCGACCUGAAUAUUUGCUACAAAUAGAUUUGUUGCUUUUUUUGCCAAACCCUUAAUUACCUCAUUUGAUAUCUGAAAAUGGUUAAGCAAUAGAGUUCUGGGACGAUAUUGAAAAUAACUAUAAUCAUAAAAGUUAUCGGAUCCUAAUACAAUUGAAUACCUUUGCAGUGUUAGGGGGACACCAAAUGUGUUAAAGAAUUCAAUAUAGUCUUCACUGUUAGCAGUCCAUUUUCCUUCGAUAUCGACAAUGUACAACUCUUCCAGUAGUGGGGUUCUUUUGAUCACUUCAAAAUUUUUCCCUUUCAUUUCACAUUUGUACACGUGUAACAAUUUUAAGGUUGUUACUUGUGUAAUUGCAACAUCAAAUGAAGACAAUGAACAACCAUUCAACGAAAGACUUUGAAGUUUCUUCAUAUUGCUUACAAAUGAGAAGUCACUCAAUUCAUAAUAAGAAAUAUCUAGAUAACGAAGAUUUGUUAAUGUUUUUAAAGACAUUGUUGACAAUGGUGUUAUUCCAUCUUUAUCAUUGACUAGAAUCAAAACUUUGAGCAUUCUCAUUCUUUUGAAAAUUCCAUUCAAUUCUUCCAAUUUUGUCUUUAAGAGUAAAAACUCAAGAUUGGAACAAUCCAAAUCAUUUGGAAAUUUCACACACCAUAGAUAUCUUACUGAAUUUUGUUCAAUAGUCACAUCUUUUUCCUCUUCGCACUUGAUUAUCUUAUUCUCAUUCUUUGCUAUCAAGUGGGCCACAUCGCGAACUAUGUCAUGCAUUUUGACAUAUUCAUCCUUUUCAUCCAACAAUAAACAAGAACUAACGAGCUUAAUUUUGGCUGCAACCACUUCACUCCUUGCCUCCUCAUAAGAGUGUGCUUCUCCAACUACACCUAAUCCUAUAGCAUAUCUUGUUAAAAUUUCCAAUGGAAUUUCAUAAUCUUCAGGGAACACAGAACACAAUAGGAAAAGUGAUUUAGCUUCUUUAUUAUCCAAAUUAUCAUAGCUCAGCUGCAAGCACUUGUAGGGAUCAAUCAAACCUCUUUCUAUAUUUAUUGGCUUAGAACUUCUCAACUUAUUCAAUGCAACACUCCAUAUCGUCUCCGCUUUUCCCUUCAAACUACUAGCUACAGCUGCAAUUGCAACAGGCAAUCCUUUACAUUCAUUGGAAAUUAAUCUUCCCAGAUUCUUUAAGGUAUCAGGGGUGUCUUCAAAUAUAAGUGCUUUAUUUUGGAAAAGAGUCCACGCUUCUUCAUCCGUUAAAAUUGGCAAAUAAAUCUUUCUUUGACAAUCCAUUGAAGUACAAACUUCUUCUGAUCUAGUGGUAAUGAGAAUCUUGCAGCCUUUAUGAUGUUCAGAGGAGGGAAUCCCAAUGCCACCAAAGUCAAGCUUCUCCCACACAUCAUCUAGAAUCACAAGAAUUUUUUUCUCUUGGUUUAAUCUCAAGCACAAUCGUUGGGCCCUCUCCAUUACUUCAGUUUCUGGAAAUGUAUACUGCAAUGAACUUGCAAUUUUUUCUUGGAUCCUUCGAACUUCCACUGUACUAGAAAUAGGCACAAAAAGAACUUUUUCAAAAAAAUGUUCUGCUUCUACUAACUUCAUAACCUCCAUUGCUAAGGUGGUUUUACCACAACCCCCCAUCCCAUACAAUCCAAUCAUGUCAACAUCAUUAUUUUUCACUGCUUCUAGUAGUUUCUCAUAUGCAGAUUGUCUACUCUCAAAAUUCAUGCAUUUUUCUGAGAGAAUAUCAAGGGUGCCUGAAGGAAGUGUAGCAAUGCGGUCAAAUGGCACAUAUUUUCUACCCUCUGCGAUGAACUUUUCAAGGUACACAUUUUUAUUUGCUAACUUUUUUCCUACACGGUAUUGCCAAAUCCAAUUUGGACAGUGCCCAAAGCAGCAAAUUCUUUUCGCUUUUGCCUCUUUCAACAACUGAUUCACAUUGUCUACGUCAUUGAUAGCAUCUUGCAGCCAUUUGUCAACAACUUCACUCGUCUUUCUUGUUUGUUUCUUGGCAUUUGUAACAAAUUUUUGAACACUAUCUCUCGUUACAAUCAAAUCGCCCUCUUCUUCUUCAAGCUUUUUUAGAAAAUUGUUAAAGCAACAAGGAUAACGUAAUUGAUUUAAUGCUCCACACACUAAAUCUCUUGAAACAGAAGAUGCAAAACCCAAGAGGCACUCCAUCAAUUUGUUCCACCAAAUGCAAUUUUCUUUUACCUAAACAAGAGAAGUUGAAUACUCUGUAGUGAGUUUUAUAACUAUAUUUACAUUACAAGAAAAUUCAUGAAAUAGUAAUCAAAUUUAAAGACAAAAAAUAAUUAGUCACUAUAUUAACUAAAUUAUAUACUAUUUUAGAGACUAAUUUUCUUUUUGUAUAUAAAGUGCUUUUUAUUAUUAAUAAAAAAUUAUAAAAUAGUUUUUAAAUUGAUAUCUAAAUUAGCUACCAAGAUUUUAGCUACUAAUAUUUUAGAGUUUUAAUUGGUCUGAAUUAGUCUUUUAGAAACUAAUUUAAAAUCUAAAAUAUUAAUAGUUAAAACUUUAGUAGAUAAUGAUUAGAUACAAAUUUAAAAACUACUUUAUAAAUUUUUAUUAAUAACAAAAACUACUUUAGAUACUAAUAAUUUUCUUAGUUUCUAAAAUAAUCUCUAAUAUAAUAUAAUAGUAACUAAUUAUUUUUGUCUUUAAAAUUAGUUGCAAUUUGAUGAUUUUAUAGUGUUAAAUGUAUUAGAUAACAAAAGAUUUUAAGAUAUUUGUUGCAUUAUCCAGUACAUCACUUUUAUAGUAAAGGUUAUGAUGUUAUGUUUAGUAAUUAGAUUUCAUGUUUUAUACCUUAUAUAAUCAAUUAUUGUACACACAAUAGAAAUAAAAAUAAAUCUAAUAACUUUAAUGAUUACUUUUAAAGGUUUAUGUGUUAAUAACAAAUGUUGGUAAUUCCUAAAAAAUUGUAAAUAUUCAAUAAAAUAAAAUAAAAUAAAAGUAUCUAAAAGGUUACUUGAAAUUUAAUUAAGUCUAAAAUAAAUGAAUUUUUUUAGCUAAUUGCAUAUACUCAAUUACAUUGAGAUGAGUUAGACUUGGUACUUUAUGAGCUCUUCUCAAUUUAAACCAAGACUCGAGUGCUUUUAAAAUUCUACACAAACUUCUAAUGUUUUGAAAACGUUACAUUAUCACUGUUUGUUACAUCACACAUGCAAUUUCAUUAAAAACAGUUAAUAUAGGUAUAAUUCAGUUUUAUUAAAAACAGUUAAUAUAAGUAUAAUUUUUUAGAAUAUUAAGGAGUAUGAUUGUAUUUUACUCACUCAUUCAUUAUUCAUGAUUGGAUGUAUAAAUUUAAUAAACUAAAUAAUCUAAAAAAACAAUCUCUUCUCUUUUUAUUUUCUCAAUUAACACUGGUUUAUAUUUAUUCCAGGUCUCAUCUUUUUUUUAUUUCAUUAAUUUAUUCACCUCUAUUUUUUUCUCAAUACAAGUUUUUAGGCCGCAACAUUCCUUCUUUUCAGUGAAAAAAAGAAAUAACUUUCUAAAAAUAAUUUAAAAUAUAUAUGAUAAUUAGUUUUAAGCAAAAGUAUCAUAUAAUUAUUUUUAGUAGAGAAACUAUGUACUUAUUAUUUACUAAAUAAAAUUUUAUUUAAUUUAUUAAAAGAUAAAAUUAUCUAAUUAAAAAAUGACAAAAAAAGAGUUAUAAAAAAUAUGUUCUGAUACAAAUUAUUAAAAAUAGUAAAUUAAUCAACCCUAAUAAUAAAAAGUGAUAAUAAAUAAAUAAUGACAAAAAAAUAAUAUUAAUGAUAUAAUAAAGAAUAAUAACAAUAAAAAAUUUAAUUAUUUUAUUUAAAUUAAAUAAUCUCAAAAAAAUAUAAUUACUUUUCUUUUUAUUUUCUCAAUUAACACUGUUUUAUAUUUAUUCUGAGUCUCAUCUUUUUUUUAUUUCAUUAAUUUAUUCUCCCUCUAUUUUGUUUCUCAAGUCAACUUUUUAGGCUGCAACAUUCCUUCUUAUCAACAAGAGCAAAAAAAUAAAAUCAAAUUCUUAAAUCUAAUUUAUAAUACAAAUUAUAAAUUUUCUCUGUCUAUUUUGUUUCUCCAAAUCAACCUCUCUAGUUGUUUAUAUUCCCAGUUUUCACAGAUCUCGUAGUAUUUCUAAUCCAAAUUAUUUUCUCAGAUCUCACAUAAAAAAACAGAGUAUAUUGUGUUUUGAUCCAUAAGAAGAGAUUAAUUUGGAAGUGGAAAAAGAGGAAAGGUUUUUACGUUACCUGCUUUAACUAAUAUGUAGAGAGAGAUGAGAGAAAGAAGUGGUGAUCCAUGACUUCAGUACAAGAGACACUCAAACGUUAAGUUACUGCACAGACAUAAACACAAACACGUGAUCUGCAGCUUCAAUUGAAAACGAAUCUAUUAGAAUUUGAAAACAAAGCAAAAGUUAACUUCACACUGAUUCAUACCUCCACAGAGAUGAAAGUACUCCAUUGCUUGAAUCGAGGAGAGAGUACAAGAGAAGCUGAAACGUUAAGUUACUGCACAAGCAUAAACACAAACACAUGAUCUACAACUUCAAUUGAAAAGGAAUCGAUUAGAAUUAAGUUAACUUCACAGUGAUUCAUACCUCCACAGAGAUUAAGAAUGAACGCACAGUUAUUCCAGCACAAGAGACGGUGAAAGGUUAAGUUACUGCAGAAACAUAAACACAAACACAUGAUCUACAGCUUUAAUUGAAAAGGAAUCGAUUAGAAAUUGAAAUGAAAGCAGAAGUUAAGUUCAGAGUGAUUGAAACCUGCAGAGAGAUGAAAGGAAUCCAUUGGUUGAAUGAAGAACAGAGUAAAAGAGAGAAUCCUGCGAGAGAUGUGAAGAGUGACUAUUAGUCUUCUUCCCACUGAUAUCAUUGGUCUUCUCUUUUCUAUCGAUUAAUAUUAUUAUUAUUAUCAUGAUUCAGGAAGAUGCAUCCACUUGCACUUUUAUAUCUUUUAAAACUCUUUCUGCUCUUUUUAUAUAAUAAUUAUUCUUAUCUUUUAUUAUUGCUCUCUGCAGUUUUUUGUUAAUCAGCAGCAGUGCAUUGCACACGGUAUUUACAAAACUUUAAACGGGGAAACAUCAUUCUCACAUAACAAUAAUUUAUUUUAUUUAUUAAACAAUACACAACCAACAGAAAAAAAACAAAACUUAUUUAACCUUCGAGUUGUACCAGCCUAAUUAAAGUUGAGAAUAUUAUUGUAAUUUUUUAAAUAAUUUUUACUUUUAUUUAGUAUGAAUGUUUCAACCCGAUUUAAAUUCAUCCUGAAAUUUAAUGUAAAAACUAGAAGUGGAAAAUGACCUUUUAAAAUUUUUAUAUUUUCUUAAAACAUAUUAUUUAAAACGUAUUUUAAAAAAGUAAACUAUUGCUUUCGAGGAAAAUUGAAUUUAGUAUUCAAUUUCAUAAAAGAAUAAAUAAAAAUAGAAAUGGAAAUGGAUGAUUCCUUUUAAAUUGACAGAUAGGAGUAAACUGAUUGAGAAAUUAGAACCAAAUGAAAUAUAUAGUAAAGCAUGCAAAAAAAGAAAAAUAAGGUAUUACAAAAUGACAAUGGACAGUCAUUCAAGGAAGGGCAACAAAAAUGGGUUUCUGUAAUUUUUAAGAAAAACAUGUGAUCAUUAUAUGUUACAUAAAAGAACAAAUAGUUUUUUAUUUUAUUUUUCAUAACAUUGUCUUUGUCUCACCCAGACUUCUUACACAACAAUAAAUAAGAUACCAAACAUACAAUAAUAUAACAAUCAACAUUUAGAAAGUAAAUUGAAACUAUUUGAUAUUGUGAAAAUAUUGAAGCAUACAACCAUCAAGAAACAAAAGACGGAACAAAACAGUGUAGUUGCAAGUCUUCCUUUUGAGUGAUGAAGAGUUUGAUCCUUAAUAACAGUGAACAAUGAAAAUUCUUAUGAGGGAUUUCUGGCAGUCAUGCGAUUGUACUCAUAUUGACUACAUAGAAUUGACCAUUUAUAAGUCACCUCAAACAACUUUUGUUCAAUUUUUCUUUGAUCUUCCACCAUUUGAGAAUUGUCUUUCCUCACAUUUUCAAGCUCCAUUUUGUACCCAAUAGUUUCCGCAAUGCAUUUAUUUUUUUCCUCCUCCAGAGAUGAUAAGGCAUCCUCACAAACUUUUAUUUCUUCCUUUAAAACAACUUCCUUCAGUUGAGCUUCAUCAUAAAAAUUCUUUGCCUCAGAAAUUUUGGAACCAAGAGAAAUGGUCACCUCAUUUCCACGAGCUUCAAGUUUUGCCAACUUCUCAAUGGUAGCAAAGCCUCGCUUAAAGGAGCAUACAAUGCUUGGGAACUCUUGCUGCAUAGUGCCUAUAAUAUCUUUGAGUCCAUCUGAUAGAGUUACAUCUUUGAAAGGAAGGUUGGACAGGAAAUUAAGAGCAGACAAAAGACGAAUGUUGUUAGUCUCAGAGCUAACUAUGUCCUUCAGAGACAUCUUUAGAUACUUUUCUAACUCAACAAGGGUAUUUCCAACUAAAUUAUCUUCACCCUCUUUCCCCACAACAAUUGGUGCAAAUAAACUCAUUAUAUCAUUGGCCCCAAAGUCUUGAAUAAUUUUAGGAUGACCUUCACUUUCUUUAGCCGUGUCUGUCUCAGUUUGAUUGCUCCAAAUUUCAGUCUUGGAGGAAUAAGAAGAAAAUAUAACAAAAAAGACGUUAGCAGUCACAACAAUUUUAAAGCAUUGAGUUCCUUAAACCAUUUUAUAUCAAAGCAUAUUUGUGAGAGUGAUGGUAACAAACUCAUUAAAUUUAAAUUCCAACUUGAAAUUCAAUACUUUUUGUUUCUUAAUUCCACUCCUACGGCAAAUGGUAAAUCAGAAUGGCAACAUCAUUUUUAUGCUGACCAAAUAUAUUGCAUAAAAUAAACUUACAUAUGUAUGCAUUUUUAUUUUGAAAAUGACAACAUGUGUGCCAAUAGAAUGCCUCAGUUUUAUUCUGUUUGCCAUUUACUUGAGUAAUUUCGGGGCUACUUACAAUUUCUCCUAGUGGCUUUUGUUGAUUCAUCAAACACAGUUCACUAAUUCGUUGUUUGUCCACCAAUGCCUAAACAAAGUAAUGAAUAAGUGUAAAAUACUAUUAUUUCAUCCAAUUCUCGAAAAAUAUUUUUAGACUCACAUUUGAGUGUGUUUCACGUAGAGGUAUAUUCGAGUAACUUGGACUUGGCCUUUCAACUGGUUGCGAGUUUGUUAAUGAUGUUGUUGUUCUUGGUAUUUUUGAAGUGGAAACUUUUGCAACAAAUUCCUUCUUUGGUUCUUCAUUUCUCGCAGUCACAAUGCGAUCAUUAGAAACAACAACUAUUUCACCUUCUUUGUCAACCAAGUUAGAACCUUCUUCGAAGUUAUUGUUAACAUUCUGGGUCUUCACACUUGGAGAAGUUCUUUUGCAGUUUUCAUUAGGCCCAUCACCAUGUUCAACAGCCUGAGAAUCUAGUACCAUCUCCACACUACUAGACCUGUGUAACAAACUUAAAUUUUUUGCUUUAUGCAUCCCAAAGAACAGAAAACUAAGAAACAUAUGGUAUCAAUCUUAUAAGAAUUGUAGAUACAACCACAAUGUAUAUAUAAAUAGAAACAGGAAAUCCACACAGCCACAACAUAGAGAUAUAACUUCCAAUUCACAAAAAAACUAAUACAUUUUAUCCGGGCAUGAACAAAGUCAUUUAUGACUCUUAAUUUCAUUCAUUCUUUACAUUACAUUGUCAAGAAGUUAAAUGAACAUACCUCUUAGGAUUCUCAUCCAUUUGUCUCUGUGCAAUUUCCUCUCUCAGCUUAGGAUCCCUCACCACAACACGUUGACGCAUUUCAUCUACCCAUGAACUCUCAAAUCCUAUCUCAAUAGCUUUUUCACAUAGUUUAUGGAAAUCUUUUUCUCUUUGAGGAAUAACAUUAUCGCCACUUCCCUUCUGCAGGAACAACAACAUAUCUGCCAAAAUUUUCAACCUCCAAGCUUGAAAGCGCUCACUGAACUUCUCGCAAGCAUUCCAAAGAUGAGGAUAUGUUGUUAUUGCCUCCACAAGAAGAGCAAUUUGUGCAUCAUCCAAAUCAACAAAAUGUUUAUAUGCUCCCAAUCUUGUAUGAAUAUCUGCAGAAGCUGUAAAAAGUUUGAGAGGGUGAUAUGAAAAUAUAGGAUGAAAACGAGAAAGUAAGAAAUAAAAAACCUGGAGAAAUGUCAAUGUUGUUGUUGUUAGAAACAAUAUGUAUUUCCUCUUGUUUAUCCAACAGAUUCAACCCUUCUUCUAACUGGAUUUCUUGGCUUGGCGUGAUUCCUGCCAUGCCUUCAUUCAUUUUAUCAUCUUGUUCAACAACCUUGGAAUGUUUUGCAAGUAUGUCCACACCACCAGACUGAACGUGAGUUGCAACACCACCUCCAUUGCUAAUGUCUUCAACACCAGUUAACAAAGGUUUUGUCUUAUCACCCUCUACUGCAGGCCCCUCUUCAAUGCUUUCAUUUCCUACGUCCCCAAUCUCCUGUGUAUCACAAAUUGAAAAAAUAUGAUUGAGAGAAUCUAAAGUUUGAAAGGACCACAAUCUUCUUCGAUACCACUCAAUAUUAUGCAAUUUGCUAAAGUAAGUGCUAUAAGUCAUUCACUUUCUCUAAUAUUUAGAAGAGCUUAUUGAAUACUAACCGGUGAGUGUGCUUCGUUUUGGUUAUGCUCUGAACCAGGUUCUUCCUCAAUAAAUUCCUUCAUUGAUUGUUCAUCAAUCUGAACAACGCCAAAAUAUACAAAUUCAAAAGCUCAACAAGUUAACAUUUUUAACUAAUAUAACCAAGUUAUAAAUGAAGAGGUUUUUCUUUUUUAAUUAAUUGAUUGAGUCAUGGCAAUAUUUACUUUGGGGCAUUUCCAUAACAAUAACAAAUGGAGACAAGAUGCAAAGAAGAAUGGCUCAUAUACUAUUCUCAAACUUUAGAACAUUAUUUUAGGAAGUUUUAAUUUACUUUUUUAGACUUCAUUGUAUCACUUAUCUUUUUAAGAUCUUUUCGUAAUUUUUAUUUUAAUAUAAAGAUCUUACAAAAUUCAAUUUUUCAUUAAUAUUUUAUUUGAUGGUUUGCAGAAAUAUAUAUUUAAAAUAUUGUUUUACUUUUCUGACUUGGCAUGUUAUUUAAGAUUCUAAGUCUUAUUUUUUUAUUCUACCAUGUGAGUUAAAAUUGAAAAAAUUCUUCUAAUAAUGAAACAAUUUGUUUUAUUAAACUUUCUUUCAAUUGCAUUACAUUCAUAGAUUGGUUGGUUCUGACCUGUGAUGAAAUGAACUCACGUAUGUCCCCCACAGAAACUUCAGUGUCUUCGAAAUCUGUAAAAAAAAUUCAUAUUAGGGAAUUCAUGUGACAAUGAAACACAUAACAAAAAGGAAAUACAACAUCAAGUUUCCAUGAUGGAUCAUUAUAUCACUACGAUCAAAAAUAAAAAAUGAUUUAGAAAGUUUUAUGAUAGGAUUUUUUUUAUCACCCAUCCAAAUAAAAUGGUGACUCUGUCUUAAGGAUCGUUUUCUUUAUAACUGUUCUUCAUAACUAAAAUUAAAAAACUUGCAGCAAAAAGUAAUUUAAUGUGUUUUAUUUUAAAAAAAGUAAAUUUUCAUAGUACACUAGUGCUAAAUAAGAUCAAUUAAAUUAUAUAGAUAACUAAAUCAUAUAUAAAUUGAGCUUAAGAUUAGUUCCAGAGUUUGACAACCUUCCAAUAACAAUUUGUAUUUGAAGAUUCUAUAUAGUAUUUACCUUCAUAAAGAAGAUUUUUAGCAAGCUUUGUAAGAGUAGUUGUUGGAGUCAAAGAGAGUUUUGGACAUUCGUAGACAACACAGUUCUUUAAAUUUGGCAAUUCGGUCUCUUGACAAAAUUUUGAAAGAUGCAUAAAUAUUAAGAGUUUCAGUCUUGGAAGCUCAACUUUACUCUUUCCUAUAUGAUCACCUUUUUCUUGUACACAUGCAACAAACUCUUCUAGUUCAGAAGCUCCAUUUAUGAUCAAAACAUGAAGAUUGGGAAGGUCAUUAGAUGCAGAUCCAGAUAUAAAUCUUUUCAGUCUGUCACAAUGUUCAACAUACAAUGCUUCUAGUUUUGGGAAGCAUGGCUGAGGAGAAACAAGAUUAGACAAUUUUUUAUCUUUCACAUCUUCUUCAAUGAUUUGUCUUAAUUCUUUGCAUUCUCUUAUAUUCAGAUGAUUCAACUCUGGUAAGCAUCUUAAAACAAACUUUGGAAAGACAACUUGCAAUUUUUCACAUCCAAUGAUUUCUAAUCUUUCAAGAUUUGGGAAGGUAAAAGAAUUCUUUGAAGUUUCUUGUUCACAUCCAAAAAUCUGCUUCAAUUCCAUGCAUUCUUUUAUAAUUAGGCUUUUCAACUUUUGUAAGCUUCUUAAAACAGAGGGAGGAAAGAUUACUUUCAAUUUUGCACAUCUCAUUAUUAUUAAUGUGGUAAGAUGUUGGAGAUUAACUGAAAUCAUGGAAGCCACCCAAAUAUAAGUCAUUUGAGGUAGAUUUUCCAAAAACAAAUCCUUUAACUUUAAACUCACUGGUUGCCCAAUCAUUCUAGGUCCAUUAAGACAAAAAAUAUCUUCUACUUCACAAUUCCUUAUGGAUAGAUAUUGCAAACUGAGGAAAUGGUUCUGAAUCGACUUUAGAUUCUGCAGGACAUUAAUAAGAAAUGUAAACAAAAAAAUCCAAAUAGAAAACAAAAAGGAACAAAUAACUAAUAAUUAUAAAAAUAAAGACAAGACUACCUUCCUACUUACGCUAAUAGGCUCUCUUGAAUUCGUAGGAACCAUCAAACAACUAACAGGAUCAUAAAAAGGAUAUGAGCAUCGGUAACACAUAAACUCCUUCAAAGAUGGGUAUGUCAUAGUGAGAGAGUUUGUAGCACAAAUGCUAACAAAAUUUGGUAGAUCAUAAAAAGAGAGUAUUUCCAAUGCUGAGAAAUGAAUAUGAAUCUCCUCACAAUCCUUAUUAGCUACGGGAUAUUGGCCAAAAAUAUAUUUCAAUUGGCCACAAUCACGCACUGAGAAAUUUCUUAAGCUUUGGAAGAUAGCAUUCAAAUUCUCUUUCUCAUAUUCAUCCUUAGUGUCUAUAAUGUGCUCAAGUCCAUGGCAUUCCUCAAUUCUUAAAGAUUCCAACAUCAAUGAUGAAGCAAUGGACCAUUUAAAAAUGUACUUUGCCUUAUCAAAGCCUUUCAGUUCAAUCUCUCUUAUAUUAUGCAUAGUAAGAAAGGUCAAACCCUGUGGUUGUUUUGAAAGAUAUUGAACACUUUCAACUUGGAGAAUACGAUCUGAGUUCGAUAUCUGCAAUAUAUACACCAAGUUACUUCUUAAACCAAACUAAAUAAUAUCUUAAUUAAGUAUAAUUAUUAAUGCAUUCCAUUUCUAACAUAUCAUUCGUGUAAAUUAAAAUUUUAAGAAAUACCACCAAUUUGCUUAGAUCCAUUUGUUUCUUUAUGAAAAUAAUUUCCUUUUUCUUUAGCCUAAUGAGUUAAAGUUGAAAAGAAAAUAAUUUUCCAUAAAUAAUCUACUUGAAAUAAUCUUACAGGAUAACUGUCUAGAAUGGUGCUUCCCAGG
rnacentral:lncRNA from 1 species